UCGCCUGUGCCUCUUGUGUGCGCGGGUUUUGCUCUCUGGCCGAUCUCUCGCCUGUGCCUCUUGUGUGCGCGGGUUUUGCUCUCUAGCCGAUCUCUCGCCUGUGCCUCUUGUGUGCGUGGGUUUUGCUCUCGGGCCGAUCUCCAGCUUGUGCUCUUAUGCGGGUUGCUUUCUGAUUUUCUUCUGUUGAUCUUCGGCUGAUGGUCUAUCUAUCUUCUUCCUUCUCGGUUUCACGGAUGCCUUGUGCUGCUACAGUUGGUAUGGAGGUAUCAUCUUGAUUUUUUGCCGAGAGUUGAG
rnacentral:lncRNA from 1 species